rnacentral:rRNA from 1 species
GACGAACGCUGGCGGCGUGCUUAACACAUGCAAGUCGAACGGAAAGGCCCUGCUUUUGUGGGGUGCUCGAGUGGCGAACGGGUGAGUAACACGUGAGUAACCUGCCCUUGACUUUGGGAUAACUUCAGGAAACUGGGGCUAAUACCGGAUAGGAGCUCCUGCUGCAUGGUGGGGGUUGGAAAGUUUCGGCGGUUGGGGAUGGACUCGCGGCUUAUCAGCUUGUUGGUGGGGUGGUGGCUUACCAAGGCUUUGACGGGUAGCCGGCCUGAGAGGGUGACCGGCCACAUUGGGACUGAGAUACGGCCCAGACUCCUAUGGGAGGCAGCAGUGGGGAAUAUUGCACAAUGGGCGGAAGCCUGAUGCAGCAACGCCGCGUGCGGGAUGACGGCCUUCGGGUUGUAAACCGCUUUCGCCUGUGACGAAGCGUGAGUGACGGUAAUGGGUAAAGAAGCACCGGCUAACUACGUG